UAUUUUAAAGAGAGUUUGAUCCUGGCUCAGGACGAACGCUGGCGGCGUGCCUAAUACAUGCAAGUCGAACGAACGGAGGAAGAGCUUGCUCUUCCAAAGUUAGUGGCGGACGGGUGAGUAACACGUGGGCAACCUGCCUGUAAGUUGGGGAUAACUCCGGGAAACCGGGGCUAAUACCGAAUGAUAAAGUUUGGCGCAUGCCACGCUUUUGAAAGAUGGUUUCGGCUAUCGCUUACAGAUGGGCCCGCGGUGCAUUAGCUAGUUGGUAGGGUAAUGGCCUACCAAGGCAACGAUGCAUAGCCGACCUGAGAGGGUGAUCGGCCACACUGGGACUGAGACACGGCCCAGACUCCUACGGGAGGCAGCAGUAGGGAAUCUUCCGCAAUGGACGAAAGUCUGACGGAGCAACGCCGCGUGUAUGAAGAAGGUUUUCGGAUCGUAAAGUACUGUUGUUAGAGAAGAACAAGGAUAAGAGUAACUGCUUGUCCCUUGACGGUAUCUAACCAGAAAGCCAC
rnacentral:rRNA from 1 species